rnacentral:rRNA from 1 species
UACGGAGGGUGCAAACGUUGCUCGGAAUCAUUGGGCGUAAAGCGCGUGUAGGCGGUCCGGUAAGUCCGCUGUGAAAGUCGGGGGCUCAACCCUCGGAUGCCGGUGGAUACUGUCGGGCUUGAGUACGGAAGAGGCGAGUGGAAUUCCUGGUGUAGCGGUGAAAUGCGCAGAUAUCAGGAAGAACACCAGUGGCGAAGGCGGUCAACUGGCCCGAAACUGACGCUGAGGAGCGAAAGCGUGGGGAGCAAACAGG